CUUGUAACAUGGGGAAUGGAAGCUUGUUGUGUCCAACAGGAAGUGGCAAGCUUCACAAAUGUAUUUUAAUUGUUAAAACAGGAUUGAUGUUUUAUGCUAGAUCCUCUCACACAAAACACCAAAAAAUGUCCAGAAACAGUAGAUCCAGCUCACCUGCUUUUACACUAUGAUUUGAAUAUUACAUGUCACCAUGGAAGGCCAAAACUCCCUCCCACCAAAACAGGCUGAAAUUUCAUAAAGCCUUUUCAAACAGCUCUUACACUAAAUGGGAAUUCUCAUAAUUCAAACUCAGUGUGGAAAUACAAUGAGUAUACAAAGCAUAAGGAACAAAUUCCAAAUAUUGAGUUGCACCCCUUUUGUCCACAGAACAGCCUCGAUUCGUCGGGGCAUGGACUCUGCAAGGUGUCGAAUACGUUCCACAGGGAUGCUGGCCCAUGUUGAUUCCAGUGCUUGCCACAUUUGUGUCAAGUUGUCUGGAUGUCUUUUGGGUGGUGGACCAUUCAUGAUACAUGGGAAAUUGUUGAAUGUGAAACCUAGCAGCAUUGCAGUUCUUGACACACUCAAACUGGUGCCCCAUGGUACCUACUACCAUACACUGUUCAAAGACACUUACAUCUUUUGUCUUGCCCAUAUUCACCCUCUGAAUGGAACACAUACACAAUCCAUGUCUCCUCCUCUUCAUCGACACUGAUUUUUGAAGUGUGUGUAUAUCUUGUUUCUCAUGGUCUGGUUGUCUUUAGGUGCCUGUUGGCAAAUUCCAAGCGGGCUGUCAUGUGCCUUUUACUGAGGCGUGGCUUCCAUCUGGAGAAUGCCAAGAGUUUGCAAAGCUGUCAUCAAGGCAAAGGCCAAUGGAGACGUGGCCCAUCCUCACACCCGCCUGACUGUCAACUCCCCCCACCUUUCCUACAUGUGCGAGGUGGGUGCCAACGUCACCAUGCUCUGUACCCAGAGAGGUGCCAAGCUGCACCCUUCGGACCACCUGCAUCAAAGCUGGCUUUUCACCCCCCACUCAGCUGAGCAUUGCCAUAACAAGGUGCACCCCCGCGACCACAAUCACCGGGGCAACCAUUCCAGUGCGGCGCUUCCUUGGGGGGUAAAGUACGGGGCAAGCGAAGAGUCUUUCUGGGUGCAACUACAGCUUGUCAACAAUUCUGACCAAGGGCGUUACUGCUGCCUCUACCUGGAUAUUAACAAUGGCAAGCUGGUGCAGAGGGCGCAUAGCCACGUCUUUCUCACUAUCACACCUCGGAAAAGAGACGAGGCGGAAUGCACUAUAUUGGACAUCAAGCCAGCAGAAGGGUCAGUGACUGCAGGCCUGGCCACAGCUGCUUGCAUCAUGGCUAUUCUCUCUUUGCCCAUCAUCCUGGUGUUAGUGUAUAAGCAAAGACAAUCUGCCCAGUCCAGCCAACGUGCACACGAGCUGGUGAGAAUGGACAGUGAGGCUGCGGGCCAUGUGAACCCAGUAUUUCUGGGGGUCUCACCCCCGGGCCAGGCUAAGACCAGGACUGUGUCUCAAAUCAUGACCAGGCAGUCCUCAGAGACAGGCCGACACCUGCUUCUGUCCGACCCUGGCACCCCCCUAUCUCCUCCCGCACACGGAGUUGUCUUCUUCCCAGAACAGGGAUAUGGUAGUAGGUGCCAGGUGCACCGAUUUGUGUCAAGAACUGCAACACCGCUGAUUUUUUCACAAUCAACAGUUUCCUGUGUGUAUCAACAAUGGUCCACCACCCAAAGGACAUCCAGCCAACUUGACACAACGGUGUAAAGCAUUGGCGUCAACAUCAAGCAGCAUCCCUGUGGAUGAUAUCUAAAGUAAUAUCCCAUCCUAGAGUCUCCUGAUUUCCUGCAAGUGUAGAGAGAAGCAGUCAAUGGCUCCCUAACCCAGAAACACCUUGUGGUUAGUUAUUCAUCGUCACUCUGCCAUGUCACCCUGAAGCCUGUCUCACAACCUUCUCUGCUGGGAGAGCUCUCUCUCUGUGUACCGCAUCCUGGAUGGAUGGGAGAGGGAAGGAGGGGACAGUUUCUUCUAAAAUAAAUGUUCCACCUGCAACAACAACUGGAGGAGGCCAAAGAGGGGGGGGGGGGGUUUGUUCUCGACACUUGUGUUGCAGUGGGGGCCCGCUAAGUAUGUGACGCACCGUCUGACCACUGACGACAGCUCAAGGACCAGCAGGUGCUCCUGAUCUGAUGUCCCAGGACUGUACUGAGGAGGAUGGGGGGAGUGUGGGUGCAGGGUGGGCUGUAGAGGAUACAAAGCAACUCCCGUGGACUCUUGAUGACAUGCUCCUCACCAUUUCCCUCACCAUUUUCCCCAAAGAGAUUUCCCCCAUAUAGGGCCCGUUCCCCGGACACAGAUUAAGCAUCAAUCUAGACAGAAAACAGUGUAAACUUUGGUUUAGACAUUUGUUUUCCACUAAUAUUUGACAAACCUAUUUUCCAGUGGCAAUUGACGAGACUGACUAGACAGACCUAGAAAAAAUGAAUUGAACGAAAGUGAUUUUUCAUUUCAGUUGACUAAAAUGAGACAUGACAACAUCUAUCUAUCUCUGUGAUUAAAAUCUGACUCUUUAGUGGACAGGACAAUAGUUUUUGAACAAAUCUAGCACUUUUCAGUGAUAAGCACAAUUAAUAUUAGCAGGACAGAUGUAGUUAUUUUCAGCAGUAGGAAGGAUGCACCACACCCGGCACACACAGCCUCCAUCAGCUGGUGAGCUGGGGGGGGAGCAAGCGAUGAGUGUGGACAGGCAUUGCACAGGCAACUCUUCUUAAUUUCCCGACAUUGUGCAGGCAACUCUUCUUAAUUUCCCCUAGCUAACCAGUCACCACUAGCAUUCUAGUCAGCUACCCUUUGCCUGGUUAAGAAACACAAGCUGCUUUACAAAAUGUAAAACAAUAGCAGCAUUGAGUUUAAUAGUACAACUACAGUCUAGCUAUGUUCUUCUCUUCCUUGAGUAGAGAAAAGUAGGCUGUUUUUUGAAUUUGUAGUCUUCGCGCAACCCUCCCACCUUCCCCACUGCCUUUCAUAGGCAGGUUCUGUAGCCAAGUCUCCCUCUUUUCCUCGGAGAAAACGCUUGAUGCUAGCCCUUACUGUUCAAAAGAUAUGACCCGGCUCUAUGUUGUUUCUUUUUAUUGUGCAUUGGCGGGCUGCAUUUUAUAUUCAUAAAGAAUAUUGUGGGCCGUGCUAAAAGUAGGCUACUUGCAGACCAGACCGUUAACCAUUUGUUUAGACUACACCUUGUUCAGUCAUGUUACCUCAAUAGCUAGCUAUAGCUAACAAACUGGGGCUCGUUCAGCAGUAUGCAACUUUUUGAAAUGUUCACAUAGAAAUAUGCUAUGUAGAACAAACAUGCCUCUGACAUUUUGCUACUGAACGUGGCUCUGGUAUUACCAGUAGCCCACUGUAUAUGCAAACAUUUGGUGGCACAGAAAGAAAGGAAGAAAGGGAUUGCAAAAAAUGUAUUGACUAAAUUAUUCUUGCCACUACACCUAUAUCUGACUUGGUAAAUAGAGUUAAUGUGCACCCAGUGACUCGAGCGCUGGGACUUUGUGUGUGUGUCUGUAUCUAUGCAAUAUACAUUAUGUGAAUAAAAUGAAAGAGCAUUUAGUUGACUAAAAUGGCCCACUGUUUUCUUCAUUUUGACAAUAACUAGAUUAAAUCAUUUAUUAAACUUUUUUUUUUACUAAGACGUAAUAUUUUUGUCAAAAUUACUAAGACUAGACUAAAUCUAAAAAAAGAGGGACACAAUUAAAUGGAGAUUCUCCAUUGAAUGUGCUUCUUAGUCCAACACCAUUAGCUUUAUCUGUGUCCUGGAAACUGGCCCAUAGUGUUCUACUUCUUUCUAUGAUGUUUCCCUCUUCCUAUGGCUCUGAUAUGCAUAUUCAGCACAUUUGCUUGCGCCAAAGUGAUCAGGGUAGUAAGAGGUACCCAUGUGCUGACAGUAGUCUUUUAAGGCCAUUUCCAACCAGCCUUAAACAAUUGUUUCUAAAAAUGUGUUUCUCUGAGCUGUUGUAACGAGACCAAAGCCCCACUUUUAUUUAUCUAAACGUCCCAUUCUUGUGUUGUUCCUCUUUCCCCUUUUAUAUAUUUCACUACCUAAAAUACUGUGUUUCUGUAACCCCCCUCCAUCCCUUCCCUUUCCUCUCUCUUAUUCCUUCCCACACCCUUCUCUGCAUGUAACAAUGUCCAAAUAUUCAACCAGUACUAGAAACUGUCAAAUAAAUAUUAGAGAUAUAUUGCUAUGCUGGAUGGUCUGUUUUUGAAGAGAAGUGUCAAUUUUGGCUAGUGGAUGGAUCUAGUAACCCAAACUCAAUGAGCCAAAUGCCUUCACUGCCAAGAUGACCAACAUGUUUAUUCCAUGGUGUUCAUGUGUUUACUGUUUUGUGAUAUCCUUUGGCAUAUUUUGUGCUUAUACUUGAUUAUUUGUUAUCUUUAUGUUUAUCUAUCUGUAUGUAUACAUAAGUGAAUUGAAAAGUUGUUGACCAAAGCACAAUCAGACAGAGAAGAACAGUGAAAGCAUGUGUGAAGUCGACUAAACUGGCAUUUCAGACAUGAUGUUUAGAUUGUGUCUACGGUAGUGAUAGGUGGCUAUCGAAUACUACUGUAGAUAUUAGAUAAGGGGUGUUCAGUGAAUUGUAAAAAAAAAACACCCUGAAAUUAGUUGUGUGUGUGUGUGUGUGUGUGUGUGUGUGUGUGUGUGUGUGUGUGUGUGUGUGUGUGUGUGAUAGCCAAACAGCUGCAGCUUUGGCAACACCAUAUGAAAUAAAGCCUUUCCCAAAAAUAAUGAAAUAAAAUGCUGAUGUAAUUUUUUUCUAUAAUAAAUCGGCGCUCUUAAACCUU